rnacentral:misc_RNA from 1 species
AACGCACCUUGCACCCCGUGGCUUACCACGGGGUACGCCCGUUCGAGUGUCACGUUCACCAUCGCCCCUGGGAAGGUCACUUCUCUUCGGCGGAUCUGGAUGCUGCCGUCGUUGGCUCGUCCGAAAUGCAUUAGCGAGGGUGGUCUCCCUUAACCGCUUGGCGUGAUAUUUACUUCUUGCGCCUGUCGGUCGGUAAAGUGGAGGCGGCUCUGCUUCGAAUCCCGUCGCGUCGACGGAACGUAACCCAAUGUUUUGACCUCGAAUCGGGUGGGACUACCCGCUGAACUUAA